rnacentral:rRNA from 1 species
AGGACGAACGCUGGCGGCGUGCCUAAAACAUGCAAGUCGAACGGGGUCCAUCCUUCGGGAGAAGACCUAGUGGCGAACGGGUGAGUAACACGUGAGAAACCUGCCUUGAAGUCUGGGAUAAGCCAGGGAAACUUGGUCUAAUACCGGAUACCUUCAACACUCCUUAUGCUGAGUUGAAGAAAGUUUUUCGCUUCAAGAGGGUCUCGCGUCCUAUCAGCUUGUUGGUGGGGUAACGCCUACCAAGGCUUCGACGGGUAGCUGGU